CGCCAUCUAUCUGAAAGGCGCUGUCCAAUCACCAAACGUUUUUCCGUAAGUGACUGGAGCUAGAAGCGGUUGGGCAGUUGAAACAUUUUCGCAGAAUGUUUGAAGUCGCAUUAGUUGAAUUUAUACGUGAUCUAGAAUGAAAAUACCACUCAUCAAUGAUAAACAUAUCCUCUCUUCUAUUAUGUUAUCCCUACUGCUUUCUUAUGUAUUUCUCUUCUGUUCUUUUUCGAAAGGAAAUUAGAUUUUCAAGAUCGUGUUUUCAGACGCGCCAAACUAAAAUAACCAAGGCAUCAUACGAUAAACAACUUUAGUUAAUUUCUGUAUUCGUUUCCAAUUAAAAUGUUUUGAUUUCAUUCAAUUUCCUAUCGAUAAGAAAUGGUGACGCUUAAUCAUGGCGGAGUUUUCUUCCUUGGAAGACAUCGGAGGAAAUUUCCGCACAGUGUUCUACUUCUUCUUCUCGUGUCCUCGUCUUUACAUCGCUUUUGUGUCCAGCUAUCUAUCGUAUUUAUCCAAAGAAACAAGAUUUUGACCUUGUCUCGGGCGCAUUUCUACUCUGUUUUCAACGAUACGUAAUUAAUAUAGCUUAAACACGCAUGCGCACUAUAAAAGGGAGCUCCCUAGCAAAGCUCCGAAAAAUCUGUCAAUCAAAUCAGUUGAGUCUAGACUUCCAAGCGUGCGGACGUGUUUCACGGAGCUCCAGACAAACCAGAAAAUGAGUCUAGCUACAGUGCAAACCUAUCCAAGUGCACAAAGUUUGUAGCCCAAGUUCCAAUUCGGCAUCUCCUCAAACCACUUCUCCUACUACUACCAGCUCUCCACUACCAGUACACAUGUUAAUAUUUGUUUAUUGUAAAUACCUGGAUUAGGCAUGAUCAAGUGUGCUUUACAUGCACAGACUGAUCUAUGCCGUUUACAGUAGAAACACAAUAGAAAAGAAUGUGAAUUAGUAUGUAACCACUGUACCUGAAGAUUUCCCCCAAAUAUACUGUAAUCCAGUUUAAAUAAAAAAAUGAAAACCAUUAAUAAAAA